rnacentral:rRNA from 1 species
GAGUGGACUCCUACGGGAGGCAGCAGUGAGGAAUAUUGGUCAAUGGUCGAGAGACUGAACCAGCCAAGUCGCGUGAAGGAAGACGGCUCUAUGAGUUGUAAACUUCUUUUGUACAGGAGUAAAGUGAGACACGCGUGUUUUAUUGCAAGUACUGUACGAAUAAGCAUCGGCUAACUCCGUGCCAGCAGCCGCGGUAAUACGGAGGAUGCAAGCGUUAUCCGGAUUUAUUGGGUUUAAAGGGUGCGUAGGCGGUAUUACAAGUCAGGGGUGAAAUCUUGGUGCUUAACAUUAAAAUUGCCUUUGAAACUGUGGUACUUGAGUGUAAAAGAGGUAGGCGGAAUGUGUUGUGUAGCGGUGAAAUGCAUAGAUAUAACACAGAACCCCGAUUGCGAAGGCAGCUUACUAUCAUACAACUGACGCUGAUGCACGAAAGCGUGGGGAUCAAACAGGAUUAGAUACCCUUGUAGUCCAGAAGUG